rnacentral:tRNA from 2 species
GUACCCAUAGUUCAAUGGAUAGAAUUGCAGAUUCCGGUUCUGCUGAUGGGGGUUCGAAUCCCUCUGGGUACACAA